rnacentral:rRNA from 1 species
GACGAAGGAUGCAAGCGUUAUCCGGAUUCAUUGGUUAAAGGGUGCGCAGGCGGACUGAUAAGUCAGUGGUGAAUCUCUUUGCUUAACAAGAAACUGCCAUUGAUACUGUCGGUCUAGAGUAUAGAUGACGUUGGCGGAAUAUGACAUGUAGUGGUGAAAUACUUAGAUAUGUCAUAGAACACCGAUUGCGAAGGCAGCUAACGAAACUAUAACUGACGCUGAGGCACGGAAAGUGCGGGAUCAAACAGG